UGCCCUGGCAGUGAUCCCACCGGAGCUGUCACUGUUGACAGCUGAAGUCGAGCAGCUUAGGCAGGAGGAGAAAUCCCCUGGCCUUACAGUAAGUCCUGUGACACGGUAUCAUUUGACCGAAUUAGCUCGAAUGACGGGGAUAUCAUUGACCAAACGCUGCUGUGAGUGGUGACUCAGGCUGUGCCCACAGCGCCCGUGCCAGCCAGGCACAGCCAUCCAGGGGCUCUUCAGGGAAAGCUCAUGGACAGUGCCUGUGCUCCGUGUAUCAGGGGGAUGUUCCACACACAGGUAAAGCUGGGCGAGGAGGGCACUUGUGAAACUAAUUUCAAAACCAAAACUGAGUGAGGGUCAGAAACAAGAGGCCAAAGUGAAGAAAUGUGGAGAUUGUGAAUUGGCGACACCCCAGAGGAGAGUUAAGCACGUGGACAGAGCUUCUUUGUGGAAGGUUUUGUUUCCAGCUAUGUACAUGAAAGGCAUGUUGUGAGAAGAAAGUUGCUGCAGUCACAGCCGAGCAAAGCAAACUUACUAAUUAACUGCAGGCUGCACCACUUGCACUUAGCUACGUGCCCGGGCUGACAACACAGCCUUCAGUGCUGGUUUGCAAACAAAUUUAAAUAUUCAGUGCACAGCUUCUGGGAAGGAGGCCAUCUUUCUUCACGCUGUAGCUUUGGGAUGUAACAUUUAUUAGUGACUUGUGCUUAUUUCCACUGACUUUGUGAUGCCAGGAGAGUUAGCAGCAUGAUGAAUCCUCUAGGUGUAUAUACCCAGUAGGAAUGGGGAAGGGAAGGGAAGGAGCUACCGUGAGGGAGGUAGCAGAGGGAGGAAUGUGGAGAUGCCUUUGCAACAUUGGCUGGCAGUAUGGCUGUCUGGAAAAGCAAAAUCCCUUGUGGUAAACAGAGGUUUUAAAAUCUGUUCACACUCAAUGUCAGAAUGAAAAUUAUUUCUAUUAAAAAGUUCACCAAAAAAGACUAUCUCCACCAAGUAUCUAAUAAUCAUUUUCAAAAUCCUUCAAUCUUCUCUGCAUCUCCUUCUAUCAACUGGCCAUUAUUUUUCUACCAGGCUCAAAACCUGGAUUCUCUGCUGAGCAAGCUCCACUUCCUUGCCCUUUUUUCCUAUCCACGAUGCUGGUUUUUUUGUUGGUCCCUCAGCCUGAAGAAUAGCUGCACUUAAUUUGAGAGGCAAACAUUGACAGUUUUUGUUGAACUGUUUGUUGUGAACUCUUGGAGAUGACUGGUGUUAGCUUUAUGCUGCAUCAAGGGUUCAUGAACAAAAGUAUCCUUCUUCAGGCAAAUAAAUAUAUUUGCCCCCUCUUAAAAUGCUGCUUCUCAAAAAAUUUCCUGCUCAGUUUGUAAAACUCCUAGAAUAGCAACUUCAACUUCAUAGGAAGCAUCAAACACUUAUAUGUGAAAGAAAAAAAAGAAAGAAUAAA